GUAUACCCUCUUGUCCCCAUUGCUUGGGCCCCUAAUAGCCGUUUGCCUAAUCUUACUUAUUGCUCCUUGCUUUCUCCAGUUCCUACAGCGGCUCUUUCAAGAACUGACUGGAGUCACCAUCCACCAGAUGCUGCUCCAACCCCACCCUGAACGAGUGCAAGAAACAGACCUCUCCCCAAACCUCCAGGCUCCUUAGGAAAAGAAACCUCUUCAGAACCCCCCGUCGACCCUUGUCAGCAGGAAGUAGCCAGAGAGACAACCGACGCCCCUGACCCCCUCUUUUUCUGUUCUUUAAGGAGUCGGGAAUGUUUGGAAAACUCUGCCCCUACCGCAAACGCUCUCUCUCUCUCUCUCUUUCCCUCCCCCACAAAGAGGCUCCCUUAUCUCUCACUUUACAUACCGGUCCUAGCCCUCCCGCCGCCCAGCUUCCCGCCGCCCAGCUUCCCACCCAGCAGUUCAAACUGACCAACAGUUGCCCACCACCUCGGCUUUUGGCUUCCCCACCCCCCAGCCCUUCAGCCCCCUAUAAAACAACCCUGCCCCUCUGAGCAGCGCGGCCAUUUUUCCUUUUCGUCCCGGCUGGCCUGCCCGGAGGCUCUUUCCUCUCAAUAAAGCCUGAACUUAAGGAAUUUCCUCUAGCCUACGGUCCGGUUUUUUCCGAACGAGCUCAGUCUUCCCGCAGAGGAGACCAUUGACAUUUAGGGAUGUGGCCAUAGAAUUCUCUCUGGAGGAGUGGCAGUGCCUGAACCCUGCUCAGCAGGAUUUGUAUAGAAAUGUGAUGUUAGAGAACUACAGAAACCUGGUCUUCCUGGGUAUUGCUGUGUCUAAGCCAGCUUUAAUCACCUAUCUGGAGAAAGAAAAAGAGCCCCAGAGUAUGAAGAGACAGGAGA